GCAGGAGCUGAAGGGGCCCAGAGGAGAGCUGGGCCAGAGUGUUCAGCAGGGCCUGCGGGGAGAGGACAAGGGGGGAUGGCUUUACACUGAAGGAGGAGGACUCAGCUUUGAUUUGCUUUAGGAAGAUGUUCUUUUGCACUGUGGGUGUUGAAGCCCUGGCAGGGGCUGUUCAGAGAGGCUGUGGAUGCCCCAUCCAUGGGAAUGUUCAAGGUGUGCUUGGACAGGGCCCUGAGUAACCUGGUGUGGUGGAAGGUUGUUCAAAUUUGAAGAAGAUGAUUUUUAGGGUCCCUUCCAAGUCAAACCAGUCCAGGAUUCCAUCAUUCUACAGUCUCCAUCCCCCAGUGUGGAGUGGCCUUGGACCUCCUGUGACAUCAGAGCUGCCAGAGCUGUGCCCGUGUUCCAUGUGGAACUGCCAGGGCCCGGCGACGAGCACAACGCAGCCAUUCCCCUGCUGCCAGCGAACCUUCAGCAGCUCGCAGCGAACCCCUGUCACCUGGUCCAAGACCACCCUUCCCCCUGCUCCAAGAGCACCUUUCCUCCUGCUCCCAGCGCCCUGUCCUUACCAGCUCCCUGAUAGUCCGUCAGUCCAGAACUCUCCCUGCUGACUGGAUCUCAGCAUCGCUCCUGCAGGAUGUGCAGUUUUGUCCCAGUGAAGGGUGUCAGAGACACCGAGGAAGCCAUGGAUGUGGACAUGGAUGGCGAUGGCGAAGAGAGUAUGGAAGUGGACCUGGAAGAGCAUGUGGAGGAGAUGGAGGUGGACACGCAAGAGGAAGAAGAGAUGGAUGUGGAAGAGGAAGGCGAGAAGGAGGAGGCCAUGGUGCUGGGAUGAGGAGAGUCCCCCAUCAGCAGCAGGUGAGGCCCGUCCUGGCCAUGCCCUGCCCCGGGCACAGCGGGUCACCUGCCGCCAGGCUGGGGCUGGGCUGGGUGGCCCCGCUCAGGGACACGGUGCCCCGUGCCCUGGAUUGUGGCGGCACAACCCCCAGCCCCGGCCUGCCCUGCGCCUGCUUUGGGCCACACAAGCCCCGUGCCAGCGCCUGGGGCCCGGCUCCCAUCCCCAGCCGGGCUCAGGCCUGGCGCCAGAGUCCAGCUGUGCCCAGCGUGGGCCAGGCUGGGGGCACAGGGAACGGCCAGCAGGGCCCGACUGCACUGACCGUGCCCUUGCUUUUCUUGCAGGACUGACGGACCUGCCGGCCACGGAAUCGGCCACUUGUACAUAUGUUUUACAUGUUGUUCUGUAAAUACGUUCUAUAUUAUUGAA